CCUGAGUUGUAAGAGUCAGCAACAAUGGACUGGAAAGAUGGGGCAAUUUUCCCAGAAGACCAAACAGAAUGACGAUCCUCUAAAGAAGGACCAUAACAAUCUAAAGACUGCAUUUACCUGAAUUGACCAUGUUGAGGAC